rnacentral:tRNA from 1 species
UGGGCGGUAGGGGAAUUGGCAGACCCGCCGAGCUUUGGACUCGGAUACUUCUAGGUUCAAGCCCUAGUCGCCCAGC